CGUCUUUACUAAUUGAAUUUAUUUAUUAUUCUUUUGAUUAUUUUGGUUUUUUAUUUUCCCUUUGGCCGUUUGUCUGUGCGUGAUUUAGUGUGAUAUUUGCUUGUUUGAUUGACAAAAAUUUGCGUUCGAAUGUGCAUAGAGGGUGGAUGGGAUUUAGUAUCUUGUGCUUGCACGAGAGUAGGUGAGUAGCAAGUGAGAAAUGGAAACACGAGUGUGCGCUACCGGUAGCGUCUCAGGUACUGAAGGAUCAACGAGAGGCGUCGCGACGCCCUCACCUGUACCACCACUACCACCACCGACAACAACAAUAACAAUAACAUCAACAACAACAACAACAUCAUCAUCAUCAUUAUCAUCAACAACUCCUUCAAUAUCUUGUGUGGGAAGCGUCGGGAUAGCCGCAGUUGCAGCCGCAGCAGCAUUAAGUUCCGGUUCCAUGAGCCAAAGUCCUGUAGUUGUGCUUCCAAGUCCACCAACAGUUGCCACAACACAUCCACCAACACUUCCGAAAAUUCUAAGUCGAAAUGCCAAUGGAACACUUGUCCAAACUUCAGUACCACAAAAUGAAGCCGAAUUGCAGCUUUACAGGGUAAUGCAACGUGCUUCACUUUUAGGAUAUUAUGAUACACUUUUAGAAAUGGGCGGGGAUGAUGUCCAACAACUCUGUGAUGCUGGUGAAGAAGAGUUUUUAGAGAUUAUGGCGCUAGUUGGUAUGGCAAGUAAACCUUUACAUGUAAGACGUCUCCAAAAGGCUCUCCAAGAGUGGAUCACUAAUCCGUCUUUGUUUCAAACACCUGUAGUGCCAACAAACGCCACAACCUGUAAGAACUCAACUACGGUAACAUUUGCAGCCGCAAGUCCAAGAACUCAUCAAUCAACUCCGAAUCUUUUCCCUUCAGUAUUACACAAUACUAGCCCUACAACACCAUUUUCUACCACCCACGUAUCAUUAACUCCCUUAUCUUGUAGAAGUGUAAGCCCCAUAGCUCCAGUAACAAAUGUUAUUGCACCAGCUGCAACUUCUAGUUUUCGACAAAGUCCAAGUCCCAAUACUCCAAUAACCUAUUCUACUUCUCAUAGUCCGGGAAUUCUUCAGGUUGGCACUUGUGAAUCUUCUUGUGGAAGUGGAACUACACCGAGUCCUAGUGGUGGUGGUGGUGCUCCUUCAAGUCCAACACAAACAACUCCUACUCUUCUUUCAUCGCAGGUGCAGCGACUUGCAGAAGCAGCUGAACGUCUUGCUUGCAAUCUUCGACCAUUGGAUCCAAAGCCUCAUAAUGUUAAGAAGAAAAUUUGCAAGAACCUCGAGAUGGUGAUGGCUAUGCCGGACACCGACCCAAGAAGAAUGGAAGAAAUCAGAAAAUAUGCGGCGAUUUAUGGCAGAUUUGAUUGUAAGAGAAAGCCAGAGAAACCAUUAACACUUCAUGAAGUAUCUGUCAAUGAAGCUGCUGCACAGAUAUGUCGAUUUGUUCCUGCCUUACUAACACGAAGAGACGAGUUAUUUCCAUUAGCUCGUCGUGUUGUUCGAGACUCGGGCUAUCAUUACUCCAAAAGUCAAUUCUUGUCAAUGACAAAGCCACGAGGUGAGAACGGUGAUGAUGGAGAGGAAAAAACAAAACGUCAACAUUUGGAUCAGGAGGCUGAGGGUGAGGACACAUCCCAGGCCGAGUUGGAUCUACGCUGUACUGGGACGGAUAUCAACAAUAUCCUAAGAAGACAUGGAUCAUCAAGUCUGGAGGAAGAAGAGUAACAACGGAGUAUUUGCAACAAAUAUCGAGGAAGUCAGCGAUACAGAUAGUCAAUUUUCAUUUUCUAAUGAAGAAUCUUCGUCUUUACAUGAUGUAAAUGAACUAGAAGCUGACAAUACGGACAAAGAAAGUGAUUUUAAUUUGAA
rnacentral:misc_RNA from 1 species